ACAUCAGGAUUUCUGGUUUCACAAAGAUUUGAGUCAGCAAUUCCAAUCCUGUGGAAAUAUAAAAUAUUUUUGGUGUAAGUAUGACCAGUGAGCAAUCGAUUAACAAUCUUUAUGUUUUCAGGUUUCAUGUUUGAUGAAAAGAACCAGGGCUGUUUAGCAGGCGCCGGGAAGAAUUGGUAGAAGAGUGACUCAAUGCGUUUCGACGCAUCUGUGACCGACAGACAGAAGUUGAUUGGUGAACCAACAUUUGCUGCAUGCUUCGCAAAAUAAUCGGCUGUUUCAUUGAUUGGUAUACCGACAUGGGAAGGUGUCCAAACAAACGAGAUUUUAUUUAAAUGCGAAUUAACUAUUUUGUUUAGAAUAUUGUACACAGUGAA